rnacentral:rRNA from 1 species
GACGAACGCUGGCGGCGUGCUUAACACAUGCAAGUCGAACGGAAAGGCCCUGCCUUUGUGGGGUGCUCUAGUUGCGAACGGGUGAGUAACACGUGAGUUACCUGCCCUUCACUUUGGGAUAACUUCAUGAAACUUGGGCUCAUACCGCCUAGGAGCUCCUGCUGCAUGGUGGGGGCUGGAUAGUUUCGGCGGUUGGUGAUGGACUCGCGGCUUAUCAGCUUGUUGCUGGGGUAGUGGCUUACCAAGGCUUUGACGGGUAGCCGGGCUGAGAGGGUGACCGGCCACAUUGGGACGGAGAUGCGACACAGACUCGUACGGGAGGCAGGAGAGGAGAAGAGUGCAUAAGGGGCGGAAGCCUGAUGCAGCAAAGCAGCGUGCGGGAUGAGGGGCAUCGGGUAGUAAACCGCUUUCGCCUGUGACGGAACGUGAGUGACGGUAAUGGGUAAAGAAGCUCCGGCUAACUCCGUG